UAAGACAAUCUCGCAUUGCUCACUAGCUUGCUUGGAAAGGGUAAGGAAAAAUGUUUCAGGCAUAAGGGUAGACAUAUCUGGUGAUGAGAAAUAAAAGGCUCAACAUACACGGCUCAAAUUGGCAAUCUAAUGAUAUCAUUUUUCUUUGGGAAACAUGGUUAUUUAGGCCAUAGUGGUAAACCUAAUGCCUUUAUCAUUUCCAAGUUCAUGCAAUCAAUGACAAACAUUUCGAAAGAUCGUUACGCAAGUUCUAGAGAUGUAUCUCACAUAAGUUCAUCACACAUGAAAGAAUAGGAGUGUAUGCAAAAAUGCACACACUUUCAAUAGGCUCAAAAACUCACAUAGGAUGUAUAUGGUCACUAAAUUCACAUAUGAAGCUUUAAGUCAUGUUUUAGUUUCACAUCAACAAGGCUAUGUGCAUUUGGUUUUUCAAAGAUGAUCAAACAUGUACAAAACUAACAAGAGAAUUAGGAAUUUCACAAAACACAUGUUAACUAAGUUCUUGAUGAUCAUGGUUCAAAUUUGAUCCAAUUAUAUCAUUGGGUCGGGAAACUAACAAAAAUCUAAUUCAUAACAAUAAGGGAAACAAGACAAUAUUUUUGGAUUUUUUAAAUUUUCCGAUUUUUUUAAAUUUUUUUUUUUUUUUUAAAGAAAACAAAACUAAUUAAGAAAACAAAAAGCAACAACACAGAAACAAAUGAAACCAAUUNAAUUCCCUGACACCCAAAAGGGUCUGCUUUCCAGUGUGAGAGGGUAAACUAAUUGUUCUCUAGUGCAAGAGGGUAAACCAAUUCCCUGACACCUAUAUGGGUAAGCUCUCCAGUGCGAGAGGGUAAACUAAUUGCUCUCCAGUGCGAUAGGGUAAACUAAUUCCCUGACACCCAUCUAGGUAAGCUCUUCAGUACGAGAACGCUACAUAACUCAAAAGAUCGAAUGCUUGAAGACCAACUAAGCAACAAAUGGUCAUUGGGCAGCAACUACUUUGCACCCAAUAGUUUUGCUCAUCCGACACUUCAUCUUCAGUAGCUCCGAUCUUGGCUGCUUUAUAUACGGCAGCUGAGAAAUCAAACUUAAGCAAUUUCCUCAUUUUUAGCAAGCAACCCAGAUAUGGAAGCCCAAAUACGACGCUUCUUCGGCCCAUACUGAGUCAGUCCUUGGCUUUAGUCAAGCCAAGCAGCACAAGAAAUGGCCCCUGCCACACCACCUCCUUGGCCCAUGCCAAGCCAACUCCUGGCCCUCGCCAAUCAACGUGCCGCACCACCCCAACGGCUGCCCCGUGGCAGCACCACCCAAGAAGAAGACAAGGAGAAUUAAGUUUUUCUUACAUCGGUACGGCGCAAAGAAGAUAAAGAAAUCAACGGAAGACGGUUCUUUGCACGGGCAAGCAAAGAAAAGUGCUAGGGGGAACAAAUAUCUUUUAGUUUUCUCUCUUUCUUGUAGGGAUAAAAAUAAUUGCCCUCCGAAGUUGAUUUAAUCCCCUACUUAAGGUAGGCUUAAAUAGGCUUUGGAGGUGAUUUAUUUCCCUUUCCUAGAAGAAUCUAAUUCCAAGUCCAAGUGAGAAUCUGCAUCAAAGCUGGAGAUCUCUACGCAUGUUGCCAUUUCCUAUGAGCAGCUCAGCAGGUGUGGGGAUUCGUGGAGCCAAAAAUAAUCAAGAAAAAUAUGGAGGCGACAUGUGAAUCUAGGGUGAAAAAGACAAAAUUACCCUCAAGGAAUACUGGAACUCCUACAAGCGAAUAGUGGACAAUCAUGACUCAAUCAAGGUCAAAAAUGCUCAAAAUAGGUAAUUAUUCAAAACCUAUUUCAUCCAUCCUCAUCAAAUCUUCUCCACAAGGCAACCUCAAAUCAUUCAUUUCAAAUUAUAUUAAUUAGCUAAUUAAUUGAUUUAUUAGCUAAUUGAUUGAAAUUAACACAAAAAAUACCACAUAUGUGAUGCGAGAAUUACUUAACACACAAAUUAAACCCUCUUUUUGACAAUUGUAGUAUAGAUGUAAGUAGGGUAUCGUUCUAGGCCGGGGAUUAGGAGGGAUUGCUAAUCUAUUCUAAAUUAAUUUAAAAAUAUUAAACAAGACUCAAGGACACAAAACUAGGCUAAAAACUCUAAUAACUCGAAACACACUUAGGAUGACUCAAAAUAAUGAAAACAAUCAAAUUAGACACUAGGAACUGCAAUGGACGGAAAUUGAAUUAAAAGACUAACAACAAUGAAAACUAACUAGAUAAUAUAAUUUAAUAAUGGGGGGUUUGGUUUUGACGAGAAGUAAAUUAAACUUAAAUAAAUUACAGAAUUGACAAAAACAUGAAAUUAAGGUGAAAUGAUAGGUGACGGACUAGCUAGAGGGUUCUUCUCCACACAUGACACAUAUGCAACCUAAAUUGAUUUUCAGUUGUUCUUUCAAUAAAUUGUAAAUCUCAAUACUUCAGAUUAACCGUGAACAACACUUUUUUAAUCUUCAAGUUUUCCUUAAGUUAUUGAAUUGGACGGAAAAACGCAUACAACAAUUCAAAACAUUCUUCAAAAGUCCCCUACGUGAAAAGCACAAUAGAGAUACAAUCAAAGAUCAUUAAACUUUGUGAAAACUAUAAGCAUUGACGAGGCAUUCGUAACUAUGAAAAGCAUGAUACUCUUGCCAAGAAUUCACUUAACACGAUUGUGACUAGCAACCUUCACUACUUGUGAAUAUAAGUUCAUAACGAUUAGGUGAAAUUCACUUAUAUUCUAGCAUCAAAUUCAUGCAUGUAAAUUAAGUAUGCAUUCUUAAUCGACAUACAAAAAAUAAGUUAUCAAUCAAGCAGUUAAGCAAAUUAAAUCACAACUCAGAAAUCACAACUGAAGGUAAUCAAUUCAUAUUACAAAUAUAUACAUGGCUUUGAAUUAACCUCUAGCCAAAAUAAAAUUAGUUACACAUUAUUAUCAAAUUAAACCAAAAGUUAAACAUGAAGUUGAGAAGAUAAAACCAAGAAAAUAGAGUGAAGCUUUGCUCUCUAUGCCCUGCUUGUUUCUGCUUCUGUGCCGUGGCCUGUUGACCUGCGCCUCUCUCCUCCCCUGCUGCUCUGUCCGCACAGUUUUCUGUGCUGCCCGUGCCUUCUCGGUUUUCUGCUGCCGCAAGGCAGCUGUCUCUUCGUCCAGCCCUCUCUCCCCCGCGUCAAUCUCUCCCCCCUAUUUUUCUCUGCGCCUGCCUUCUUAUUUCCUUCGUUUCUGCUUUUUUUCUUUUUUUUUUUAUUAAAGCUGCAAGGGCAGCUAAGCUGCCUCCUGAUCCUCUCUGCGCCUUGCGUCCCUGCUCAUUCCCCACGUCUAUUCCUUUUCUGCUGUCUGUCAGUCCCCCUGCUCUCCCUCCUUCCGCUUUUUCUCUCUGGCAGCCUUGCUGCCUUCCUGCCCGUUUCUGUCUCCUUUUUCCUGCUUUUCCUUUGCCGUGACUUUUAUAUCUCCCACAUGCCUUUAGCUUUUCUUUCCCUUAAGUCUUCCUUUCUUCUUCUUUUAUUCAAUUUCUUGAUAGUGUGCACUCCACUUCUCUCUUUCUCCUCACUGAUAUCCUCUCUUUUUGCCUAUUUUAUUCCUUCUUUUCCCCCCAAGGCACGCUGCAAAGCAGCUUGCUGCUUAUUAUUUUUCUUUCUAGUGGAAGAUGCUGAGCUGCCAAUUCCUCUAUCAUUUUGCUCCUAGAAACACAAUAUAGCAAAAGUAUCACAAAUCCUAUAAUACGUAAAAACAAGGUAAAUAGCUCAAAAAUAUAAGGAACUAACUAAGAAAAGACGAGUGAAUUUGAAGUAAAAAUAUAUAUAAAUAUGAUCCGAUCAAAUACCCCCACACUUAGCUUUUGCUAGUCCUCGAGCAAAACAAAGAGAACAUGAAAAGUAAUAACAUGAAAAACAUUAGUUUCCCCCUAUGUGACUCUCAUAGAAUUUCAUUCGAGAAAACAAAUCAUCAAGAACCAUAGCUAGCACCAAACAAACUAAUCCAAGUUCAUCUUCCUUAUUCAAAUAUUAGCAGUAAUCUUUGAAUCAUCCUUGAAGUGUAGUGUGUGAGAUAGCCAUGCUAAUACAAUUUCAAAUUUUUAUUUUUAAAAUCAUCAUAUGCAAACUAGCAACCUUCUCACAGGAUAUGCCCUCAAUCACACAUGUGUUUAGUUUUAAUGUGUUUCGCUCAAAGAAUCAAAUGUGAAAUUUCUACCAUAAACUUGCAUAAAGAUCACUUCUCCACAGUCAUAAUUGCAAAACUUAAAUCAAGAGGACUUUUAUUGGAUGUAAUGAGGCUUAGGGAUAGGGUUAUUGAAACGAAAGAAUAGGAAAACCCAAAUUCCAAGCUACAUUGCAAGCAAUUCUUUUCUUUAGAUUUAUAAGAACUCAAGCUCUCCAACGAUUCUUCUAGCACCUCCAACCACACCCUUAAACUGAAACUUGAACAACUUUUUAUUUUCUUUGUGUACAAUCUUUCUUUUUUUUUUUUUUUUUUUUUUUCACAAAACUAAAUACAAACAUGAAAUACCCCCACACUUAUUCUUUUGCCAAACACCUUCAAAAUACUUCACAAAUGUUUCUUAUAAGACAAUCUCGCAUUGCUCACUAGCUUGCUUGGAAAGGGUAAGGAAAAAUGUUUCAGGCAUAAGGGUAGACAUAUCUGGUGAUGAGAAAUAAAAGGCUCAACAUACACGGCUCAAAUUGGCAAUCUAAUGAUAUCAUUUUUCUUUGGGAAACAUGGUUAUUUAGGCCAUAGUGGUAAACCUAAUGCCUUUAUCAUUUCCAAGUUCAUGCAAUCAAUGACAAACAUUUCGAAAGAUCGUUACGCAAGUUCUAGAGAUGUAUCUCACAUAAGUUCAUCACACAUGAAAGAAUAGGAGUGUAUGAAAAAUGCACACACUUUCAAUAGGCUCAAAAACUCACAUAGGAUGUAUAUGGUCACUAAAUUCACAUAUGAAGCUUUAAGUCAUGUUUUAGUUUCACAUCAACAAGG
rnacentral:lncRNA from 1 species